AUGAAUAAGCCAGUGAAUGGAAACACAGACGCCGCGAUGCAAAUGGGAGGAGCCUCUAUUUCUUGUCCUGGGGCCUCUGCCCAGCUCAAGGGCCCAGCCAGUCCCUGCCGCUCCUGGCCUCCGUUUCCCCACUGUCCCCUGAGGGACGGGUGGUGGGGCUGCAGCAGCCCAGCUCGGCGUGGCCAUGGCCGGGCUCUCCCCGCGGACUGUGGCGGGGACGAGCUCGGAGCUGCAGGGCCUCCCUCCAGCGGCGGACACGGGCAGACCCCGAGGGCAACCCGGCUCCCUUCCUGGCCCUGUGCAGAACUGCCAGAGAAAGCGCGUGCCGGUGACCGCCCGCCGCGCGCACGCGCAUCGCCAAUGGCGCCCAAGAGCCGCUCCCGAGGCUCUUGGCCUGCCAUCUGCUCCGUGGCCGGGUCGGGUGGGGCGUGCGGAGAGGUCCUGGGUCCCGGUGGGCCAGGCUGUGGGCGCGGCGGGGGGAGCCGAGAGAGGGAGCCUGUCCCCCCAGAACCCUCGGCCCCGCGUCCUGGGCCAGCCGGCGCCCAGAGGCCGGCAGAAGAGGCUCCGGGGCCGCAGAGAUGGCCUCUGAGCCCGGAGACCCGCCUGUGGUUCGCCCUGUGGGCCGGACGCAGGGGACGGGGGCCCUUUGCUCCGUGUCCCGGUCCUUUAUCACCGAGGGCUGUUCGUCGGCGUCUGCAGGGACAGCAGGAGACCUCCGUCACCUCGGUGAAGGACACGGCCCUGGCCUGGUCAGCCUGCAGGAGUCUGGGUGCUGACAUGUUGUCGGCCGGCCCUCAGGAGGGUGAGCUUUCUGUUCCUCGUUUCGGCCUGUUGCAGGAGCUGCUGAAAAGGAUUGUUGUCCCUGCACAUGUGCUGGGUCUUGUGCUGUCUCUGAGGUUUGGACAAGAGUCACUGAAGACGCCGGCCUUUUCCCCACGCCUGCCGCUCCAUUCUUCCUGCACAGCUUCUCCUCUCUCGGGGAGAUGGACUCCGUGUCCCCUUCCACCAGCUCAGCGCCAAUCUCCCGAGUGGACCUCUGCAAAGACAGUGACCAACAGCCAGCCCAGAAGCAUCAGAGCCCUGCUCAGCUGCUCUUGCUCUGUCUUCUGCCCUCUGCACCUAAUGCUCUCAGAUCAGGCACCAACCUGUGUCUGA
rnacentral:lncRNA from 1 species